CAGAUUUGGUUUAUCGAUUAAGUAUCCUUCCUUCCAUCUGUGUGCCUUUUCCAUGAAGUGCAUUGUGACUAUUUCCACCCAAUGGAUAACAGGGAUUUAAUAUAUUUCGAAGUAUUGCUCACAUUUACUGCUCCAUUCCCUAGGUUCUUCUCCACUGAAAGUGAAAAAUUUCAGUUUUGGGUAAGGUAAGUGAAAUUGGGCUUUAUUCUGGGUAUCUCCCAAGCUGUCCAAAUGAUGGUGGUAUGGCAUGAGCAGUAUCCCUUUGCCC
rnacentral:lncRNA from 1 species